CUUAAGGCAGUUGAUGCAGGUGUUUGCCAUAGGCAAAUGACGUCUGGAGCUGACAGACUGAUCAUGCAGGAAAUCAAUUGAUGGUUGAGGGGAGAAGCCAACUGGAGGGAUGACACUUGCACCUGUUACCUGUUAGCUUUGAUGGUCCCUCUUUCUCUAACACACACAAAAACAAGCAAGCACACACCAAAGAGAACAAUGAGAGUUUACAGCAAUUAUACCAGUAAAAGGUAAAAGUACCAUAUAGAAAGCUCCAAAAAAAGGAAUGAAAGACAAAGAAACAGAAAAAGGAAAGCACCAGAUAAAAAGGAGACUCUGUGGGCCACCUGAAACAUGAGAAUAUCUUGAAGCAGCAGGUCUCUGUAUUCAAUGGAUUUCACUGGCCUGAGACACCCAGCAUUUGCCAGGUAGGUCUGUAUCGCCCUGUCUUCCAAGACAGGCUUUAUGGAGGAAUUGCACCCAACUAGACGAGAAAACAGCAUUGGUGCAAUGAAUCCUGGUGGAGGACCGCCAUGGACAAGACUUAUAUCAAUGGCCCGGCCAGCAUCAAAGUAUUGAAUAUUAUAAUAUUUUGCAUUCUUAGCUUAAAGACAAUGUAUUUGCCUAUACUUUAUUUACUUUAUUACCAAUUCAUGUAGAAAACCAGAUAAUUCUGAGUUCACUGACUUUCUUACCACUGUAUCUGAAAUGACUGCACUGAUUAAA